UACGAAGGGGGCUAGCGUUGCUCGGAAUCACUGGGCGUAAAGGGUGCGUAGGCGGGUCUUUAAGUCAGGGGGGAAAUCCUGGAGCUCAACUCCAGAACUGCCUUUGAUACUGAGGAUCUUGAGUUCGGGAGAGGUGAGUGGAACUGCGAGUGUAGAGGUGAAAUUCGUAGAUAUUCGCAAGAACACCAGUGGCAAAGGCGGCUCACUGGCCCGAUACUGACGCUGAGGCACGAAAGCGUGGGGAGCAAACAGG
rnacentral:rRNA from 1 species